rnacentral:rRNA from 1 species
CAGUAACGGCGAGUGAAGCGGCAACAGCUCAAAUUUGAAAUCUGGCUCCUUCGGGGUCCGAAUUGUAAUUUGUAGAGAGUGCUUCGGGCGAGACCUCGGUCCAAGUCCAUUGGAACAUGGUGUCAUAGAGGGUGAGAAUCCCGUAUGCGACCGUGGCUCGAGCCCAUGUGAAGCCUCUUCGACGAGUCGAGUUGUUUGGGAAUGCAGCUCAAAACGGGUGGUAAAUUUCAUCUAAAGCUAAAUACUGGCUGGAGACCGAUAGCGCACAAGUAGAGUGAUCGAAAGAUGAAAAGCACUUUGGAAAGAGAGUCAAACAGUACGUGAAAUUGUUGAAAGGGAAGCGCUUGCAACCAGACCUGCCCGUAGGCGAUCAGCCGCUGUUCUCAGCGGUGCACUCGCUCUGCGAUCAGGCCAGCAUCGGUUUCGGCGGUCGGAUAAAGGCCUUGGGAAUGUAGCUUCCCUUCGGGGAAGUCUUAUAGCCCUCGGUGCAAUGCGGCCAGCCGGGACCGAGGACCGCGCUUCGGCUAGGAUGCUGGCGUAAUGGUUGUAAGCGACCCGUCUUGAAACACGGACCAAGGAGUCUAACAUCUAUGCGAGUGUUUGGGUGUCAAACCCAUACGCGGAAUGAAAGUGAACGGAGGUGAGAACCCUUAAGGGCGCAUCAUCGACCGAUCCAGAUGUCUUCGGAUGGAUUUGAGUAUGAGCAUAGCUGUUGGGACCCGAAAGAUGGUGAACUAUGCCUGAAUAGGGUGAAGCCAGAGGAAACUCUGGUGGAGGCUCGCAGCGGUUCUGACGUGCAAAUCGAUCGUCAAAUUUGGGUAUAGGGGCGAAAGACUAAUC